CUCAAAGCAUUUCAUAUUUAUAAAUAUGGAUGUCAGAGCCACUGGGCAGUAGUCAUUGAGGCUUUUGAAAAAAAUUGCUGACAUUCAGUGCGGGGAUCUUAAAGCAUUAGCACGAACAUCAGAAAAUUGGAGAAGCCUCGAGCAUAUGAGCACAGGUAGCUGAGGGUAGGGAGGGCGUGAAUUACAGAAAUCAAAGAGGGCAAGAUACAGAGAGAGAGAGACAGAGAUCAUAGUGAACAAAUGAUUGGCCUGGUAGGCAGUGGAAAAUAAAUGAUUUUACAUGAAAGAUGCAGAUAUCUUCGAAAAACAGGACAUUGAGUUUUGGAAAUUAGUGUUAUAGUUGAUUUGGAGUGAACCAAGUUACUGUUCAGUUUGGUUGUGGCUUUUGAUGAAGGGAUGGUCCAACUGAGAUUGAAAUUGGAGGAAGAUUUCAGGAUUUUUUCAUGUUCUUGUCUUUCUGUUAUGCCCCGAGGUAAAAAGCAUUGGAGAUGCUGUUAAUUUUUUGCACGGCGAGCUGCAGAAUAUUAACCAGUCUCACACCAUUGCCAUCACCUUGCCCUUGCAGAUGCGGAUAAAGUUCUCCAAGCUGACAGAAAUUGAAAGCACUCGCAUCCUGUGACGAUGGGGUAGGAGUGGAAGAAUCAGAGUGUUUCUUUGAAAAUUGGCUUGAUGUGUCUGUCCAAGGGUCAUCUGGAGGAAAAAAUACAAGUAUAUCUUCAAACAAGUAGCUGAACCCACAGAUUUAUGUGACCAACGAAGCCUGAGCCUUUUGCUUCACGAUGCAGUCCAGAUCCCUCGGCAGCUGGGUGAGGUAGCUUCAUUUGGAGGCAGCACCAUUGAACCAAGUGUCCGCAGUUGCUCCCAACAUGCACUCAGACAUGAACUAAUGGAUAAGGAGGAGACAAUCAUAACUGCUUUGGAUUCAGCCCAUAGAAGGGCCAGAGGAGCCGCGCUGACACCUUCAUGUUUAAACAGAGGACACUUUUCUGCGUGCCACGAGAUGUAUAUCAGCCAUACCAAAAUGCUGCCUUUGCCUGAGACAGGGAAGAUCAACUGACUUUGGGGAAAUGGAGAAUCAUUCAUGAAUCCAGUUACUUUCUGAUCUGACAGCUUUGUGGCAUCUGAAUGGAUAACAAUUUGAUCUGGUAAUCUCAAUUGAUAGAGUGCAAAUGUGUAGUGAUGCAUUUUGGGAGCUCUGGUAAGUGAAAGAUGUUCACAAUGACUAGUAGAUCCCUAGAGAGCACUGAGAAACAAAGGGACCUUGAUGUCCAAAAGCAAGAGUUCAUGCCCUCUGCUUCUGGCCUUUCAGGCAAAGUUGGAUCCAACACUCCACUGAGUCUUAGAUCCCAUGAGCUCUUGUUUUGUUGACCAGUCUGCUAUCACUGACCUUAUCAAAAACAUAUAGACCACAUCAGAUGAAUUUCCCUCUUCAACACUUCUGAUAUCUCCUCAAUAAAAAUUAGAUAAAAUUUGCAAACCAUGGCAUUACCUCAACAAAGCCAUGCUGACUAUCCCCGAACAUUCCAUGUUUCUCCAAGUGCAGCGACAUUUUGUCCCUUAAAAUUCUUUCUGAUAACUUCCCUACCACCAAGGUUAGACUGGCUUGUAACUUCUGGAUCUGUCCUUUCUUCUUUUAUAUAAAAGUAUGAGCGGUCCUCUGGCACCUUAGCUGUGGCCAGAAAUGACUUGAAAAAUCUUUGCCAGGACCUUUUGAUAUCUCCUCCCCUGCUUCAUAAAGUCAUGCAGUAUAGAAACAGGCUCACUUGAUCAACAUCAAUGCCAACUAACAAACAUCAAACUACUGAUCCCAUUUACCUGCACUGAGUCAUUACCUACCAUACCCUGGCCCUUUAAAUGCUCAUCUGUUGCUUCUUUAAUAUUGCAAGCGUAUCUGCCUUCUCCACUUUGUCAGGCAGCAUAUUACAUGUUUGUAUCACUUUUGGUGAAAACACUUGCCUCAGAUCCCCUCUAAAUAGCUGACAGUUUACCUGAAAUCUAUACCCCCUGACUUAAACUCGUCUACUGGUUCUCACAAUCAAUCUAUGCCUCUCAUAAUUUUGUAUACGUCGAUCAGAUUUCCCCUCAGCCUCCUCUGCUGCAUGGAAAACGCAAUUAGCCUACCAGUUUCUCCUCAUAAAACUUGCAUUCAAUCACAAAACAACACCCUGAAACAUAUACUAUCAACCAACCUGGCCAACAUCUCUGUCUCCGGCUUGCUACAGUGUUCCAGUGAAGCCCAGCACAAGCAGACAGAACAACACCUCAUUUUCUACUUGGGGACCUGACAGCCCUCCAGACUUAACAUUGAGUUCUGCAAUUUUAGGGCCUAAACUCUCCCAUAUCCCAGCGCCCCCACCCCACACACCAGGCUUUGUUACCACGCAGCCUGCCACCACACACUCCCUGUUGUUAGUGACUAACAGUCCCCAUUGACGACUUCCCAGCCUGAUCGUUAGCAACUCCUUUAUCUGUCCACCUGUCUUUCUCUCUCUUUGGGCUCUAUCCUAUUGUUUACUCCCUCCCCCACCCUCCUCCCUGUUUUCGGCAUAGAAACUGAUGUUUUCCCAGCCACCAUCAGUUCUGAGGAAGGGUCACUGGACUGGAAAUGUAAACUCUGUUUUUUCCUCCAACAUAUGUUGCCACACCUGCUGAGCUUUUCCAGCAACUUUGUUUUUGCUCGUCAUUUACAGCAUCCGCAGUUCUUGUGGUUUUUAUCACUAAACCUGUCAGACUCAUCAAUGCUCUCUAAUGCUCCAACUUGUUGCUCAAAUUGCUCCAAUAAGAGGUACCUGCUGUACACAUGGUCAUGCAGACCAGCAGGAGCACUCAGCAUUUGACAUGUAGCGUAGGAUGCACCAAUCAUGGGUCAGAUCUUAAUUCCAGGCAUACCUUAACUCAACAGAACACGGAUCUUUGCUUUUAAUUUACUCAUUCUCCUGCUUAAUUGUAGGGGACAAAAACCGGUGUUCACUCUCAGGUCUCUGCUGGUAUGCCUGCUUUUCAGGGAGAGCCUUAUCUCACCCACUCCUCUCAAUAACAUUCUCUGACUGUCACUGGGCCAACCCUCUGCUCUCAGUAACACUGUCUGCCCGUCACAGGGCCCU